AUUGAACGCUGGCGGCAGGCCUAACACAUGCAAGUCGAGCGAGCGGCGGACGGGUGAGUAAUGUAUGGGGAUCUGCCUGAUGGAGGGGGAUAACUACUGGAAACGGUAGCUAAUACCGCAUACCAUCAGAUGAACCCCUAUGGGAUUAGCUAGUGGGUGGGGUAACGGCUUACCUAGGCGACGAUCCCUAUCUGGUCUGAGAGGAUGAUCAGCCACACGGGAACGGAGACACGGCCCAGACUCCUACGGGAGGCGGCAGUGGGGAAGAGUGCACAAUGGGCGCAAGCCUGAUGCAGCCAUGCCGCGUGUAUGAAGAAGGCCUUCGGGUUGGAAAGUACUUUCAGUCGGGAGGCGUUACCGACAGAAGAAGCACCGGCUAACUCCGUGCCAGCCGCCGCGGUAAUUC
rnacentral:rRNA from 1 species